rnacentral:rRNA from 1 species
UGCAGAGGGGGCAAGCGUUGUCCGGAUUUACUGGGCGUACAGCGCGCGCAGGCGGCCGUGUAUGUGACCGGUGACAUCCUCGGGCUCAACCCGAGGCGGCCCGGUUAGACAGCGCGGCUAGAGACAGGGAGAGGGAUGUGGAAUACCCGGUGGAGCGGUGAAAUGCGUAGAGGUCGGGUGGAACACCAGCGGCGAAGGCGGCAUCCUGGCCCUGACCUGACGCUGAGGCGCGAUAGCGUGGGGAGCAAACGGG